rnacentral:rRNA from 1 species
UAGGGAAUCUUCCACAAUGGACGAAAGUCUGAUGGAGCAACGCCGCGUGAGUGAAGAAGGGUUUCGGCUCGUAAAGCUCUGUUGUUAAAGAAGAACACGUAUGAGAGUAACUGUUCAUACGUUGACGGUAUUUAACCAGAAAGUCACGGCUAACUACGUGUCAG